ensembl:lncRNA
GAUCUGAGUACUCAACGCCUGAUGUUAAAGUUGAAACACUGAGGUAAACACUAAUGUUCAGGCACUAUUUAAAAAACAAUAAAAAAUACAUAGAACCCUUCUUGCCUUCCAAAGAAUCAUCAAAGAACCCUUUCUUCCAAAAAAGGGGUUCUUAGGAUGUUAAAGAUUCUAGGUAGAACCCUUCUUGCCUUCCAAAGAAUCAUCAAAGAACCCUUUCUUCCAAAAAAGGGGUUCUUAGGAUGUUAAAGAUUCUAGGUAGAACCCUUUGCCUUUUUUAAAGAACCCUGGUUUUCCAAAAAAG